rnacentral:rRNA from 1 species
GGGGAAUAUUGCACAAUGGGGGAAACCCUGAUGCAGCGACGCCGCGUGGAGGAAGAAGGUCUUCGGAUUGUAAACUCCUGUUGUUGAGGAAGAUAAUGACGGUACUCAACAAGGAAGUGACGGCUAACUACGUGCCAGCAGCCGCGGUAAAACGUAGGUCACAAGCGUUGUCCGGAAUUACUGGGUGUAAAGGGAGCGCAGGCGGGAAGACAAGUUGGAAGUGAAAUCUAUGGGCUCAACUCAUAAACUGCUUUCAAAACUGUUUUUCUUGAGUAGUGCAGAGGUAGGCGGAAUUCCCGGUGUAGCGGUGGAAUGCGUAGAUAUCGGGAGGAACACCAGUGGCGAAGGCGGCCUACUGGGCACCAACUGACGCUGAGGCUCGAAAGUGUGGGUAGCAAACAGGAUUAGAUACCCUGGUAGUCCACACCGUAAACGAUGAUUACUAGGUGUUGGAGGAUUGACCCCUUCAGUGCCGCAGUUAACACAAUAAGUAAUCCACCUGGGGAGUACGACCGCAAGGUUGAAACUCAAAGGAAUUGACGGGGGCCCGCACAAGCAGUGGAGUAUGUGGUUUAAUUCGACGCAACGCGAAGAACCUUACCAAGUCUUGACAUCCUGCGACGGUGCUGGAAACAGUGCUUUCCUUCGGGACGCAGAGACAGGUGGUGCAUGGUUGUCGUCAGCUCGUGUCGUGAGAUGUUGGGUUAAGUCCCGCAACGAGCGCAACCCUUAUGGUCAGUUACUACGCAAGAGGACUCUGGCCAGACUGCCGUUGACAAAACGGAGGAAGGUGGGGAUGACGUCAAAUCAUCAUGCCCUUUAUGACUUGGGCUACACACGUACUACAAUGGCGUUAAACAAAGAGAAGCAAGACCGCGAGGUGGAGCAAAACUCAGAAACAACGUCCCAGUUCGGACUGCAGGCUGCAACUCGCCUGCACGAAGUCGGAAUUGCUAGUAAUCGCAGAUCAGCAUGCUGCGGUGAAUACGUUCCCG